GACGAACGCUUGCGGCGUGCCUAAUACAUGCAAGUCGAGCGAACAGAUGAAGAAGCUUGCUUCUUCUGACGUUAGCGGCGGACGGGUGAGUAACACGUGGGCAACCUACCCUAUAGUUUGGGAUAACUCCGGGAAACCGGGGCUAAUACCGAAUGAUACAUCGCAUCUCAUGUUGCGAUGUUGAAAGAUGGUUCUGCUAUCGCUAUAGGAUGGGCCCGCGGCGCAUUAGCUAGUUGGUGAGGUAACGGCUCACCAAGGCGACGAUGCGUAGCCAACCUGAGAGGGUGAUCAGCCACACGGGGACUAAGACACGGCCCAGACUCCUACGGGAGGCAGCAGUAGGGAACCUUCCACAAUGGGCGAAAGACUGAUGGAGCAACGCCGCGUGAGUGAAGAAGGAUUUCGGUUCGUAAAACUCUGUUGUAAGGGAGAACAAGUACAGUAGUAACUGGCUGUACCUUGACGGUACCUUAUUAGAAAGCCACGGCUAACUACGUGCCAGCCGCCGCCGUAACAC
rnacentral:rRNA from 1 species